UUGGAACAUCAUCUAGCUAUAGUUUAAUCUAUAGAAACUUUCAGCUCUAGUCUCAGUUGUGUACUUAAAACAGCUAUUCUUCACUGGGGUGGUCCCAAAAGGGAAGUCGGGUAAUCUAUGAGAAGGGAACAGAAUACACUGUCACGUUAUAGAAAAGAGCCAACAUUUACCUCAGAAUGCUUUAAUCCUUGAGUUUAUGAGCUUUAAGAACACCACAAGUAUAGUUGAUGCUGACAGGUCACAUCAUCCCUUAUGAAAUGGAGAAAAGGGGACAGACACCCUAUGAAGCAUCCAUAUUUAUUUCAGUGGACUUAUUCCUGACAUGUAUUGCUACAAAGACUUUUGUUCGUAGAGUAUCAGGUAAUUAAAAUAAAUCUAAAACUGAACCUGGAAAGAUGUUGAUUUCCAAUUCAGUAAAUCCUAGCAAUAUUACAAUAAGUUUGUUUUUAAUUCUUAAAAAACAUAUUAAAAUUAACUUUUUUCCCAUUUAUGUAAUGCAUAUAACUAAACUUCCUUCCUAUUGUGAGACAGUUUCAUUUAUUGUUAUUUGUAAACAGCUUAGUAAAGAUGCAUAGUGGAUUGGUGUAGAAACUCCUUGAACAGUUUCUUUUGAAAUAACACUACAUACGUUAAGCUCAAUUACACAUCCAAACAGCCACAACACACUUUUGGUAAUUUAUUCAUUGAUUUAACAUAGUACCCAGAAGAGUCAUGCCUGCUGUCAAUUUUGUAAUAUAUUAUGUUUUAAAUAUACUCAUGCUCACCCAUGCACGCCAUUAAGGUGUGCAUAAACCUGUGUUUUUCUCUCUUGACAGCUAUAAAUGUUUGUUAUUAUUACACAAAACAUAUGUUCAUGUUGUUUUUGUCUAAAUUAUUCUAUCUGGGGCUAUAAAGU